CCUACGGGUGGCAGCAGUGAGGAAUAUUGGUCAAUGGGCGCGAGCCUGAACCAGCCAAGUAGCGUGAAGGAUGACUGCCCUACGGGUUGUAAACUUCUUUUAUAAAGGAAUAAAGUGAGGCACGUGUGCCUUUUUGUAUGUACUUUAUGAAGAAGGAACGGCUAACUCCGUGCCAGCAGCAGCGGUAAUACGGAGGAUCCGAGCGUUAUCCGGGUUUAUUGGGUGUAAAGGGAGCGUAGAUGGGUUGUUAAGUCAGUUGUGAAAGUUUGCGGCUCAACCGUAAAAUUGCAAUUGAUACUGGCAGGCUUGAGUACAGUUGAGGUAAGUGGAAUUCGUGGUGUAGCGGUGAAAUGCUUAGAUAUCACGAAGAACUCCGAUUGCGAAGGCAGCUUACUAAACUGCCACUGACAUUGAUGCUCGAAAGUGUGGGUAUCAAACAGGAUUAGAUACCCGUGUAGUC
rnacentral:rRNA from 1 species